rnacentral:misc_RNA from 1 species
UUGAAUUCAAACAUUUUUCUUAUGCAGAAAACAAACAUAAUAUGUGAAAAAUUACAAUAUUUUCACUAUUGAACUCCAAUAUUUCAAUCCUGAAUUCAUCUACUCAUCAAAAUGUAAUUCUUGAUCUUCUAAUUGUUUUUUUUUAGAAUUAAUCAAAAAGUGAAAAUCUAAUAUGUAAUACAUGUCCAACGUAUUCAACUGAAUUCAACAUUUUCCUUAUGCGAAAAACAAACAUAAUAUGUGAGAAAUUACAAUAUUUCUACUAUUGAACUUCAAUAUCCAAAUCCUAAUUCGUCUCUACUCAUCGAAACGUGAUUCUUGAUCCUCUAAUUUGUUCUUUUUUUUUUUUCAAUUUUGUCUAGGUUUGUACUUCAACAACAUGUUUCUAAGUUCAGCAGCAUCAAUUUCCUUAGCAUGAGUUUCUGGUCUGUAAUAACCAGUAACAGGAUCUGGUACCCAUGAAGUCUUGUUUGAUUCCAUCACAUUGCUUCUAACACUCCCACUACCUCUUACACUACCAGAAACACCACCCUGUGCUGCCGUGGCCGCGUAUCCACGCCUCUGGAUAGCUACAGAAACAGAGUCUACAACAAAAGCAGAGAUAUUUUUGCAGUUGGAUAAAUAACGAGCCAUUGUAAUUGAUAUUGCUGAGAAUAGAAGAAGAUCAAUCAAUCAAAAUUGAAUUGAAGUUGCAGCGGAAGAAAUCGAAAUUUUAAUUACUUCCGCAGCAACAAAUUUGAAAUUUUUUUUAAAAUCUG